rnacentral:lncRNA from 1 species
ACCUUGCUGUUUGCAUCAGGAGCAAACUUGUCUGCAAUGAUGACAUCGGUUGGUAAUAAAAGGGAUACUCCUUUAGCCUUGGCCUUCUCAAGGAGGGAGGUCGCUAGUUCUAGCUUAUCCUCUUCCACCAAAGAUGAACCAACGGAAAGUCCCUGUGCCUUGUAAAAUGUAAAGAUCAUUCCACCACCGAGGAGUAGGAUGUCACAUUUUUCUAGAAGUGACUCAAUCACUCCAAUCUUUGAAGAAACCUUUGAACCACCAACAAUAGCAGCAAAUGGCCUCUUCGGGCUUGACACGGCCCCCACU